rfam:Pseudomonas taeanensis MS-3 contig_01, whole genome shotgun sequence.
UUGAGCCGUAUGCGCUGAAAGGCGCACGUACGGUUCUUAGGGGGCCCCGAUUCCGGCAACGGAUUGGGGCCACCCGAC